rnacentral:rRNA from 1 species
UUUGAAAUCUGGCGUCUUCGACGUCCGAGUUGUAAUUUGAAGAAGGCAACUUUGUAGCUGGUCCUUGUCUAUGUUCCUUGGAACAGGACGUCAUAGAGGGUGAGAAUCCCGUGUGGCGAGGAUCCCAGUUAUUUGUAAAGUGCUUUCGACGAGUCGAGUUGUUUGGGAAUGCAGCUCUAAGUGGGUGGUAAAUUCCAUCUAAAGCUAAAUAUUGGCGAGAGACCGAUAGCGAACAAGUACAGUGAUGGAAAGAUGAAAAGAACUUUGAAAAGAGAGUGAAAAAGUACGUGAAAUUGUUGAAAGGGAAGGGCAUUUGAUCAGACAUGGCGUUUGCUUCGGCUUUCGCUGGGCCAGCAUCAGUUUUAGCGGUUGGAUAAAUCCUCGGGAAUGUGGCUCUGCUUCGGUAGAGUGUUAUAGCCCGUGGGAAUACAGCCAGCUGGGACUGAGGAUUGCGACUUUUGUCAAGGAUGCUGGCGUAAUGGUUAAAUGCCGCCCGU